rnacentral:lncRNA from 1 species
UUUUUUUUUUUUUUUUUUUUUUUUGAGAUGGAGUCUCGCUCUGUCCCCCAGGCUGGAGUGCGGUGGCACGAUCUUGGCUCACUGCAACCUCCACCUCCUGGGUUCAAGCUAUUCUCAUGCCUCAGCCUCCCAAUGGCUGGGAUUACAGGUGCCCACCACCAAGCCCGGCUAAUUUUUUUGUAUUUUUAGUAGAGACGCGGUUUCACUAUCUUGGCCAGGCUGGUCUUGAACUCCUGACCUUGGCCACGGCAUCUUCUCCUGAGACCACAAACACCAGGAUCUUGUUUUCAGCUUUAAAAACCAAGAGAAUGGGCCGGGUGCACUGGCUCACGCCUCUAAUCUCAGCACUUUGGGAGGCCGAAGACAGCGGAUCAUCUGAGGUCAGGAGUUCAAGACCAGCCUGGCCAACAUGGAGAAACCCCUAAAAAUAGGAACAAUUAGCCAGGCAUGGUGACAGGUGCCUGUAAUCCCAGCUACUUGGGAGGCCGAGGCAUGAGAAUCACUUGAACCCGGGAGGCGGAGGUUGCAGUGAGCUGAGAUCGUGCCACUGCACUCCAGCCUGGGCACCAGAGCGAGACUCCGUCUCAAAGAAAACAACAAAAAAAAAAAAAAAAGAAAAAGGAUUUUCUCCAGCAGCAACCAGUGAAAGAUGAGGCGAGGCUUGAAUGGAGCCCGUGGGUCGUCCUGCCUUAGCGUCUGAGUUCAGCUUGUGAAGUUAGUGGGCCGCAGAGGGCACUGCCUUCAUUCUGCUAAGACGAAAAGGGCUGGUGGGAUCUUCGCAAGAGAGUCAGGGACUCACACUCAGCAAAAAGCAUUAGGGCCGAUUUUAAUGUGCGACCUUGACCUGCAUCUGUCAUGGAAAGUGCCUUCUAAAAAGCUUCAGUGGUGGAUGUGACCAUCUGAAGGAAACAAAUGUACAAGGAAGCACUGUGUAUCCUAAGCCCUGGGUUCCCAGAGUUUCACCUGCUGUUCAUCAGGUCUGGCCUUCAUAUACCCGUACUGCGAGGGCUGUUUCCAAUGUAAAUAAAUAACUG